rfam:Triticum aestivum genome assembly, contig: Triticum_aestivum_CS42_TGACv1_scaffold_636795_7DS
CAAGUACUCCCUCCGUCCGGAAUUACUUGUCAUCAAAAUGGAUGUGUCUAGAACUAAAAUACAUCUAGAUACAUCCAUUUCAAUGACAAGUAUUUUCGGACGGAGGGAGU